GUGUCUGCCCUCCCUGCGUCAGGACGCGGCCCUGCCCAGACCGCCCCGCCGGGCCACCAUCUCACUGCCCCGACCUCUGUCUUCUACAGAACACCUUAGGCUGGUGGGGCUGCGGCAAGAAGCGGGUCUGUUUCUUUACUUCCUCCACGGAGUCGGCACACUAUGGCUGCCCUCUGGGCUCCCAGAACCCACAACAUGAAAGAAAUGGUGCUACCCAGCUCAAGCCUGGGCCUUUGAAUCCGGACACAAAACCCUCUAGCUUGGAAAUGAAUAUGCUGCACUUUACAACCACUGCACUACCUGACUCAGGAAUCGGCUCUGGAAGGUGAAGCUAGAGGAACCAGACCUCAUCAGCCCAACAUCAAAGACACCAUCGGAACAGCAGCGCCCGCAGCACCCACCCCGCACCGGCGACUCCAUCUUCAUGGCCACCCCCUGCGGCGGACGGUUGACCACCAGCCACCACAUCAUCCCAGAGCUGAGCUCCUCCAGCGGGAUGACGCCGUCCCCACCACCUCCCUCUUCUUCUUUUUCAUCCUUCUGUCUCUUUGUUUCUGAGCUUUCCUGUCUUUCCUUUUUUCUGAGAGAUUCAAAGCCUCCACGACUCUGUUUCCCCCGUCCCUUCUGAAUUUAAUUUGCACUAAGUCAUUUGCACUGGUUGGAGUUGUGGAGACGGCCUUGAGUCUCAGUACGAGUGUGCGUGAGUGUGAGCCACCUUGGCAAGUGCCUGUGCAGGGCCCGGCCGCCCUCCAUCUGGGCCGGGUGACUGGGCGCCGGCUGUGUGCCCGAGGCCUCACCCUGCCCUCGCCUAGUCUGGAAGCUCCGACCGACAUCACGGAGCAGCCUUCAAGCAUUCCAUUACGCCCCAUCUCGCUCUGUGCCCCUCCCCACCAGGGCUUCAGCAGGAGCCCUGGACUCAUCAUCAAUAAACACUGUUACAGCAA
rnacentral:lncRNA from 1 species